CUCAAGAAAUGUCAAACCAGACUCUGCCAUGAUCCCCAGCUCUGUCGGGAAGUCAGGCCUUCUGAGAAGAAGCACAACAUGAGUUUAAUGACGUGGGAGCAGGAUAUGAAAAACUUUUUUCAGGUUUUCCAGAACUGAAGAGAGUGUUCCAGGGUAAAGGACUGCAGUGAGAUCUCUCCUAUAUUGAGCUCUGCAUAUUCAGAAUGGGAACUGCACACCUUCUGACUCCCCACUCCCUUGAAGCCUAACUCCCACCCUGCACCCAAGGUCAUGAAGGACGAGUCAGGGCUGGGAGCUGCAGCCAUCCAACACAGG